AAUAGGACUUUGCACAUUUAUUUGUUAAUUUACUCACUUGACAAAUGUUUAUUGUGCUGCACAAGCUCUAGGUUCUGAGGAUAAAACAGUGAACCAAUCAAAUAUCCCUCAUGGAGCUGCUCUUCUAGCAGGGUGGUGGCUGUAUGUGAAUAUUUUAUUUUCUUUGGAAGUUUGUUGCCUUUGAACUAUGGGUAUUUGCUGCAAGUUUAGAACACUGGCUUGUCUAACUAAUCAGUUUGUGCUUCUUAGAAGAUUUCAGACAGGUGUCAGGAAAGAUACUGAGAUAAAGGUUAAGUGUGCAAACACAAGUUUGUAACUUGCAACACAAGUUACAGAAGUGCUUUGCCUUUCCUGAGGGAAUACUUUGAAAAGUCAUACAAAUUAUGCACAGUUUGGCAAGAAGUGGGGAAGAAAGGCAGAGAAGUGGUUCAGAGAACUUUGCUACUACCAGAAGUAAAGGGUGAGAAGAAAACCAAUAGGAAAGAAGUGGUCCACAUCGUUUAUAGGGAAGGAUGUAGAACUGAAGGAAUAUGAAACGCAUGGCAUUAGUUCAGGAAGCAGAAAGUUAGAUUUGGAAGAGAAGUGCUCCUCGUGGCCGCUUGAUGAUGAAUGUGCAAGAAUUUGUCUCUUCCUACUUUGAAACUAACGUUCAGGUUGUUUGUUGUACAGAACCCUGGAAUCUACCCAGGAAGAGGAUCAGCUGAGGAAGACAAGACAGCCAACGACGGCUUCUUUGCAAUACACGGAGCUACGUUUGCCCAUGAAGACACCAUGAAGAGGACAGUUCCACUGACCAUAAAUUUUAGAACCAGUGUGGUCAACGAAAGAAGGAACAAAAGGAAAAGCUGAUAUGCAGAUGGCUGGUCGUUAAAAACUUUCUGCUUUUAAGGUAAUGACCAAAUUGCUAGUGUUGAAUGAAGGAUGGGUGGAAAAUAGUUCAUUGAUCCUGUUUACUUGCAGUAUUCAUUUUGAGUAAAUAUUAAGCUCUACAACUUCACAUAUGUUAAUAUAUUUAUGUUUCACUGAGGAUUAAACAAGAAAAGAAAGAAGGAUUAGGUCUAAAAUCAGUUUGUAAGUUUAAUGUAAUAUAACAGCAGGCUUGACAUCCAGAAGGCAUCCUCGGCAGUGGGAUAUCACCCCCAAGGGGCACAAAUGGGUUCUUGGAGAGGAAACGAUACUCUUUUUAUGUAUAAAGCCCAGGCACGCACACAAUACAUAGAGAGAUAAACACCACAUCUCUCAAGUUAAAGUUUCAUGGGACAGAUGACAAUUAUGAAAAGAUAUCUAACAGGCUCCUUGGGGAGUGAUAAUGGAAAGAUCAAGAAACACUUUUGCUAGAGCAUUGCUCUUGAUUGGACACUAUGAAUGCAGUUCAACAUUGCAUUUGUUGUUUUAGCUCCCAUAGUCCAUGCAUUUAUUUAAAUAAAACUCACCAGUUUUACA
rnacentral:lncRNA from 1 species